GCCCCGGUAGCUCAGCCUGGGAGAGCAUCCGGCUGAAGACCGGAGGGUCCCGGGUUCAAGUCCCGGCCGGGGCA
rnacentral:tRNA from 1 species